CCCUUAGAUGUUCUGGGCUGCACGCGCGCUACACUGACAUACUCAGCAAGUUUCCUUGCCUGAAAGGGUUGGGUAAUCUUGUUAGUGUAUGUCGUGAUGGGGAUAGAAUAUUGUAAUUAUUGCUCUUUAACGAGGAAUUCCUAGUAAGCGCAAGUCAUCAGCUUGCGUUGAUUACGUCCCUGCCCUUUGUACACACCGCCCGUCGCUCCUACCGAUUGGGUGAUCCGGUGAAUGAUUCGGACUCUGGCUAUGCUAGCUACUAGCUACGUCAGGGAAAGUUUUGUGAACCUUAGCACUUGGAGGAAGGAGAAGUCGUAACA
rnacentral:rRNA from 1 species